rnacentral:pre_miRNA from 1 species
UUUAAAUUACUGUAAGAUAUGUUUGAUAUUCUUGGUUGUAGUUUUAAUCACCCAGGAGUCAAACAUAUUAUUACAGUGGUUUACA